AGAGUUUGAUCCUGGCUCAGGACGAACGCUGGCGGCGCGCCUAACACAUGCAAGUCGAACGAGCGAGAGAGAGCUUGCUUUCUCAAGCGAGUGGCGAACGGGUGAGUAACGCGUGAGGAACCUGCCUCAAAGAGGGGGACAACAGUUGGAAACGACUGCUAAUACCGCAUAAGCCCACAGGUCGGCAUCGACCAGAGGGAAAAGGAGCAAUCCGCUUUGAGAUGGCCUCGCGUCCGAUUAGCUAGUUGGUGAGGUAACGGCCCACCAAGGCAACGAUCGGUAGCCGGACUGAGAGGUUGAACGGCCACAUUGGGACUGAGACACGGCCCAGACCCCUACGGGAGGCAGCAGUGGGGAAUAUUGCACAAUGGGGGAAACCCUGAUGCAGCGACGCCGCGUGGAGGAAGAAGGUCUUCGGAUUGUAAACUCCUGUUGUUGAGGAAGAUAAUGACGGUACUCAACAAGGAAGUGACGGCUAACUACGUGCCAGCAGCCGCGGUAAAACGUAGGUCACAAGCGUUGUCCGGAAUUACUGGGUGUAAAGGGAGCGCAGGCGGGAAGACAAGUUGGAAGUGAAAUCUAUGGGCUCAACCCAUAAACUGCUUUCAAAACUGUUUUUCUUGAGUAGUGCAGAGGUAGGCGGAAUUCCCGGUGUAGCGGUGGAAUGCGUAGAUAUCGGGAGGAACACCAGUGGCGAAGGCGGCCUACUGGGCACCAACUGACGCUGAGGCUCGAAAGUGUGGGUAGCAAACAGGAUUAGAUACCCUGGUAGU
rnacentral:rRNA from 1 species